rnacentral:rRNA from 1 species
GAUAACGCUAGCGGCAGGCCUAACACAUGCAAGUCGAGGGAGAAGCUCUUCGGGGCAGAAACCGGCGCACGGGUGCGUAACGCGUAUGCAACCUACCUUUCACAGGGGGAUAGCCCGAAGAAAUUUGGAUUAAUACCCCAUAAUAUUAUUGGAUGGCAUCAUUUGAUAAUUAAAAUUACGAUGGUGAAAGAUGGGCAUGCGUCCUAUUAGCUAGUUGGAGUGGUAACGGCACCCCAAGGCUACGAUAGGUAGGGGUCCUGAGAGGGAGAUCCCCCACACUGGUACUGAGACAGGGACCAGACUCCUACGGGAGGCAGCAGUGAGGAAUAUUGGUCAAUGGUCGGAAGACUGAACCAGCCAUGCCGCGUGCAGGAAGAAUGCCUUAUGGGUUGUAAACUGCUUUUAUAUGGGAAGAAUAAGGAGUACGCGUACUUUGAUGACGUACCAUAUG